rnacentral:rRNA from 1 species
AUUGAACGCUGGCGGCAGGCCUAACACAUGCAAGUCGAGCGGAUGAAGGGAGCUUGCUCCUGGAUUCAGAGGCGGACGGGUGAGUAAUGCCUAGGAAUCUGCCUGGUAGUGGGGGAUAACGUCCGGAAACGGGCGCUAAUACCGCAUACGUCCUGAGGGAGAAAGUGGGGGAUCUUCGGACCUCACGCUAUCAGAUGAGCCUAGGUCGGAUUAGCUAGUUGGUGGGGUAAGGGCCUACCAAGCCGAGGAUCGGUAAGUGGCCUGAGAGGAUGAUCAGUCACACUGGAACUGAGACACGGUCCAGACUCCUACGGGAGGCAGCAGUGGGGAAUAUUGGACAAUGGGCGAAAGCCUGAUCCAGCCAUGCCGCGUGUGUGAAGAAGGUCUUCGGAUUGUAAAGCACUUUAAGUUGGGAGGAAGGGCAGUAAGUUAAUACCUUGCUGUUUUGACGUUACCAACAGAAUAAGCACCGGCUAACUUCGUG